AGCAGAGUAGGCAUACAGGCGUUAAGUGUUCGGCAAACGGGGAGUUGUUGCCGGGACGAAAAACUCCAUACAACGGGGUUUGCGGUCUGUUUGCCGCAUCCCGCUGUU
rfam:Clostridium sp. CAG:242 genomic scaffold, scf277